UACGUAGGGUGCGAGCGUUAAUCGGAAUUACUGGGCGUAAAGCGUGCGCAGGCGGUUCGUUGUGUCGGUGGUGAAAUCCCCGGGCUUAACCUGGGAAUGGCCAUGGAAACUGGCGAACUGGAGUGCGGCAGAGGGGGGUGGAAUUCCGCGUGUAGCAGUGAAAUGCGUAGAGAUGCGGAGGAACACCGAUGGCGAAGGCGGGUCUCUGGGCCGAUACUGACACUGAGGAGCGAAAGCCAGGGGAGCAAACGGG
rnacentral:rRNA from 1 species